UAGGGUAGGAGGAGAGAGGUGU
rnacentral:miRNA from 2 species